AAUGAACGCUGGCGGCGUGCCUAAUACAUGCAAGUCGAGCGAACAGACGAUGAGCUUGCUCCUCUGACGUUAGCGGCGGACGGGUGAGUAACACGUGCAUAACCUACCUAUAAUACUGGGGUGACUUCGGGAAACCGGAGAUAAUACCAGAUCAUAUAUUGAACCGCAUAGUUCAAUAGUGAAUGACGGUUUUGCUGUUACUUAUAGAUGAAUCCGGGCUGGAUUAGCUAGUUGGUAAGGUAACGGCUCACCAAGGCAACGAUGCGUAGCCGACCUGAGAGGCUGAUCGGCCACACUGGAACUGAGACACGGUCCAGACUCCUACGGGAGGCAGCAGUAGGGAAUCUUCGGCAAUGGGCGCAAGCCUGACGCAGCAAUGCCGCGUGAGUGAUGAAGGUCUUCGGAUCGUAAAACUCUGUUAUUAGGGAAGAAAAAAUGUGUAAGUAACUAUGCCCGUCCUGACGGUACCUAAACAGAAAGCAACGGCUAACUACGUG
rnacentral:rRNA from 1 species